GAGCAGCAUGCUAGGUACCAAGUUG
rnacentral:miRNA from 1 species